rnacentral:piRNA from 1 species
UNGCUAGGUAGGACUAUUGACUGCUUCCC